UUCCGGUUGAUCCUGCCAGAGGUCACCGCUAUUGGGAUUCGAUUAAGCCAUGCGAGUCGAGAGGGUUCGGCCCUCGGCAUACGGCUCAGUAACACGCGGAUAACCUACCCUUAGAUGGGGGAUAACCUCGGGAAACUGAGAAUAAUACCCCAUAGAUCUGGUUUGCUGGAACGCUUCCAGGUUGAAAGCCCCGGCGUCUAAGGAUGGGUCUGCGGCCUAUCAGGUUGUAGUGGGUGUAAAGUACCCACUAGCCUUCGACGGGUACGGGCUGUGAGAGCAGUAGCCCGGAGAUGGAAUCUGAGACACGAUUCCAGGCCCUACGGGGCGCAGCAGGCGCGAAAUCUUCGCAAUGCGCGAAAGCGCGACGAGGGAAUCCCAAGUGCCUAUGCAUUGCAUAGGCUGUUUAAUUGCCUAAAUAGCAUAUAGAGUAAGAGCUGGGUAAGACGGGUGCCAGCCGCCGCGGUAAUACCCGCAGCUCGAGUGGUGAUCGUUAUUAUUGAGCCUAAAGCGUCCGUAGCCGGUCUCGUAAAUCCUUGGGUAAAUCGAACAGCUUAACUGUUCGAAUUCCGGGGACACUGCGAGACUUGGAACCGGGAGAGGUCAGAGGUACUCUAGGGGUAGGGGUAAAAUCCUGUAAUCCUUAGAGGACCACCAGUGGCGAAGGCGUCUGACCAGAACGGAUUCGACGGUGAGGGACGAAGCCCUGGGGCGCAAACCGGAUUAGAUACCCGGGUAGUCCAGGGUGUAAACGCUGCAGACUUGGUGUUGGGGAUCCUACGUGGGUGUCCAGUGCCGGAGAGAAGUUGUUAAGUCUGCCGCUUGGGGAGUACGGUCGCAAGACUGAAACUUAAAGGAAUUGGCGGGGGAGCACCGCAACGGGAGGAGCGUGCGGUUCAAUUGGAUUCGACGCCGGACAACUCACCGGAGGCGACGGUUACAUGAAGGUCAAGCUGAUGACUUUACCUGAUUUUCCGAGAGGUGGUGCAUGGCCGCCGUCAGUUCGUACCGUAAGGCGUUCUGUUAAGUCAGAUAACGAACAAGACCCUCGCCCUUAGUUGCUAUUUAUUCCUCCGGGAAUAGAGCACUCUAAGGGGACCGCUGGCGCUAAGUCAGAGGAAGGAGAGGUCAACGGUAGGUCAGUAUGCCCCGAAUCCUCCGGGCUACACGCGCGCUACAAAGGGCGGGACAAAGGGCCCCAACCCCGAGAGGGGAAGGCAAUCUCGAAACCCGUCCGUAGUUCGAAUUGAGGGCUGUAAUUCGCCCUCAUGAAGCUGGAUUCCGUAGUAAUCGUGGGUCAACAUCCCACGGUGAAUAUGCCCCUGCUCCUUGCACACACCGCCCGU
rnacentral:rRNA from 1 species